CGUUGGUGAACCAGCGGAGGGAUCAUUACUGAGUACUACACUCUCUACCCUUUGUGAACUAUUAUACCUGUUGCUUCGGCGGCGCCCGCGAGGGUGCCCGCCGGUCUCAUCAGAAUCUCUGUUUUCGAACCCGACGAUACUUCUGAGUGUUCUUAGCGAACUGUCAAAACUUUUAACAACGGAUCUCUUGGCUCCAGCAUCGAUGAAGAACGCAGCGAAACGCGAUAUGUAAUGUGAAUUGCAGAAUUCAGUGAAUCAUCGAAUCUUUGAACGCACAUGGCGCCUUCCAGUAUCCUGGGAGGCAUGCCUGUCCGAGCGUCGUUUCAACCCUCGAGCCCCUGUGGCCCGGCGUUGGGGAUCUGCCACGGCAGGCCCCUAAAACCAGUGGCGGACCCGAAGGCCCUCUCCUUUGCGCAGUAGCAUCAGCCUCGCAUUGGGAUCCCUCGGCGUCCUGCCUCUAAACCCCCCACAAGUCCGCUCCGGCGGCACC
rnacentral:misc_RNA from 1 species